rnacentral:tRNA from 1 species
UUAGAAUAAACAUUACAUUUUCACUGUAAAGACAAAGAAGCUCUUUUAUA